rnacentral:tRNA from 1 species
AGCAGCGUGGCUCAGUGGCAAGAGCCCGGGCUUGGGAGUCAGAGGUCACGGGUUCGAAUCCCGGCUCUGCCA